CUCCCAGCCUCCCGAAGCUGUGUCUGUGUGGACAGUACAGUAGGACCUUCCCGUGACCCUGACUAUGGCCCUGAUGUAUAACCAAACGACUCUGAAAUGUGUCAUCAAAACAAUUCUCUCAUCCGCCACAGCAGCCCCCUCCCUGCCUGGCCAACUUUGUCACUCGUCCUCUGCCUUGACCUCCAAGGACAGCCCUGGACACGUUAUGCUCUGGGCCCCAGAGGUGGACCUAGAGGAAGAUGCAGAUGCAGAGGCCACCCAGCUAAGGGGGCAGAGAGGAGCGCGGGCCCUGGACAUCUCGGCUCUAGAACUUUCCAGGCCACCCAUCAUGGAGCCCCGUAAGUGGGACCCCUCAGCAGACUCCAGGACACAAGGUGGGGCGGGCGUCAGGCGAG